UACGUAGGCAGCGAGCGUUGUUCGGAGUUACUGGGCGUAAAGCGUGCGUAGGCGGUUUUGUAAGUUUGGUGUGAAAUCUCCCGGCUCAACUGGGAGGGUGCGCCGAAAACUGCAAGGCUGGAGUGUGGGAGAGGUAGGCGGAAUUCCUGGUGUAGCGGUGAAAUGCGUAGAUAUCAGGAGGAACACCUGUGGUGUAGACGGCUUACUGGACCAUAACUGACGCUGAGGCACGAAAGCGUGGGAAGCAAACAGG
rnacentral:rRNA from 1 species